GAUGAACGCUGGCGGCGUGCCUAAUACAUGCAAGUCGAGCGAAUGGAUUAAGAGCUUGCUCUUAUGAAGUUAGCGGCGGACGGGUGAGUAACACGUGGGUAACCUGCCCAUAAGACUGGGAUAACUCCGGGAAACCGGGGCUAAUACCGGAUAACAUUUUGAACCGCAUGGUUCGAAAUUGAAAGGCGGCUCCGCCUGUCACUUAUGGAUGGACCCGCGUCGCAGUAGCUAGUUGGUGAGGGAACGGCUCACCAAGGCAACGAUGCGUAGCCGACCUGAGAGGGUGAUCGGCCACACUGGGACUGAGACACGGCCCAGACUCCUACGGGAGGCAGCAGUAGGGAAUCUUCCGCAAUGGACGAAAGUCUGACGGAGCAACGCCGCGUGAGUGAUGAAGGCUUUCGGGUCGUAAAACUCUGUUGUUAGGGAAGAACAAGUGCUAGUUGAAUAAGCUGGCACCUUGACGGUACCUAACCAGAAAGCCACGGCUAACUACGUGCCAGCAGCCGCAGUAA
rnacentral:rRNA from 1 species